UCCUGAAAUGUGAGAGUGUGCCAAAGC
rnacentral:piRNA from 1 species